AGCUAGUUGGUGGGGUAAAGGCUUACCAAGGCGACGAUCUGUAGCGGGUCUGAGAGGAUGAUCCGCCACACUGGAACUGAGACACGGUCCAGACUCCUACGGGAGGCAGCAGUGGGGAAUUUUGGACAAUGGGGGCAACCCUGAUCCAGCCAUGCCGCGUGAGUGAAGAAGGCCUUCGGGUUGUAAAGCUCUUUCGGCCGGGAAGAAAUCGCAUGGGCCAAUACCCUGUGUGGAUGACGGUACCGGAAUAAGAAGCACCGGCUAACUACGUGCCAGCAGCCGCGGUAAUACGUAGGGUGCGAGCGUUAAUCGGAAUUACUGGGCGUAAAGCGUGCGCAGGCGGUUUUGUAAGACAGGCGUGAAAUCCCCGGGCUUAACCUGGGAACUGCGUUUGUGACUGCAAGGCUAGAGUACGGCAGAGGGGGGUGGAAUUCCACGUGUAGCAGUGAAAUGCGUAGAGAUGUGGAGGAACACCAAUGGCGAAGGCAGCCCCCUGGGUCGAUACUGACGCUCAUGCACGAAAGCGUGGGUAGCAAACAGGAUUAGAUACCCUGGUAGUCCACGCCCUAAACUAUGUCAACUAGGUGUUGGGUGGGUAAAACCAUUUAGUACCGUAGCUAACGCGUGAAGUUGACCGCCUGGGGAGUACGGCCGCAAGGUUAAAACUCAAAGGAAUUGACGGGGACCCGCACAAGCGGUGGAUGAUGUGGAUUAAUUCGAUGCAACGCGAAAAACCUUACCUACCCUUGACAUGCCAGGAACUUGCCAGAGAUGGCUUGGUGCCCGAAAGGGAGCCUGGACACAGGUGCUGCAUGGCUGUCGUCAGCUCGUGUCGUGAGAUGUUGGGUUAAGUCCCGCAACGAGCGCAACCCUUGUCGUUAAUUGCCAUCAUUUAGUUGGGCACUUUAACGAGACUGCCGGUGACAAACCGGAGGAAGGUGGGGAUGACGUCAAGUCCUCAUGGCCCUUAUGGGUAGGGCUUCACACGUCAUACAAUGGUCGGUACAAAGGGUUGCCAAGCCGCGAGGCGGAGCCAAUCCCAGAAAGCCGAUCGUAGUCCGGAUUGCAGGCUGCAACUCGCCUGCAUGAAGUCGGAAUCGCUAGUAAUCGUGGAUCAGCAUGUCACGGUGAAUACGUUCCCGGGUCUUGUACACACCGCCCGUCACACCAUGGGAGCGGGUUCCGCCAGAAGUAGGUAGCCUAACCGCAAGGGGGGCGCUUACCACGGCGGGGUUCGUGACUGGGGUGAAGUCGAACAAGGUAGCCGUAGGGGACCUGCGGCUG
rnacentral:rRNA from 1 species